rnacentral:rRNA from 1 species
AUUUGGGGGAUGUAUAGUGCAAGCUAGUUGUAUUAACUAUUAAUGCAACAUCGACUAUGUCGGAUAAAGUUCUAGAUAGAAUGAUGAUAAUGACAAUUUUCUAUUUAUAUGUCUUGGCUAAAUCUUGUGCCAGCAGCCGCGGUAAUACAAGGAAGACUAGUGUUAUUCAUCUUUAAUAGGUUUAAAGGGUACCUAUACGGUAUUUUUAGCCCAAAACAGGGUACGGAUUUACUAGAGUUUUAUGUGAGAAGGGGAGUACUUAUAGAGUAGGGAUGAAAUUCUUUAAUACUAUGGGGUAACUGGUAGAGGCGAAAGCAACCUUUUAUGUAGAAACUGACGUUGAGGGACGAAGGCUUGGGUAGCAAACAGGAUUAGAUACCCUAGUAGUCCAGGCAGAAAAUUAUGAAUGCCAUAGACUAGAUAAAUAGGCGUAAUGUGACAGUGAAGUCUUAGCUAGUAAUUAAAUCACCAGUACAAUAAUCAUAGGCGACUAUAAUAUUAGAAAUGAUGGUGAACCCUUUACUAGGGAUAUGGAUCUAGAUUACUUAUGAUUAGUAGCUAGAUUAGUUUAGUCUAUAAAUGAAAGUGUAAGCAUUUCACCUCAAGAGUAAUGUGGCAACACAGGAACUGAAAUCAUUAGACCGUUUCUGAAACCAGUAGUGAAGUAUGUUAUUUAAUUCGUUGGCCCUCGAAAAACCUUACCACAAUUUGAAUGUUAUUUAUUUAAUACAAGCGCUGCACGGCUGUUUUUAGUUAAUGUCGUGAGAUUUUGGUUAGUUCCAUUAAAUUAACGUAAACCCUUGCUUUAUUUUUUUUUUUUAUAAAGUAGUUCACCACUAUAUUGGAUAUGAUAAAAGGGAUUAAGACAAGUCAUUUUGG